rnacentral:tRNA from 1 species
GGGGUUUGUGGAUCAGUGGUAGAGCGCUCGCCUACCAUGCGUGAGGCACCUGGGUUCACUCCUCAGCACCUCA